CAUCAAUCGCUGGACAAAUUGUGAUGAUGCACUUGCCCGAGAAGAACUCUCGGGCAAACACUAAUCUAAUUAUAUUCAGUGUGAACACAAACGUAUCUAUAGUGUAAUGUAAAGGGCUCUGGAGUUUACAAAGUUUACAAAAAAUAGUUGUUUUGGUUAUCAGAUUUUGAGAAUUCCCCU
ensembl:ncRNA C47G2.11 ncRNA